CAAAGGCAGUCACAGUCAAGACAGCUCUCCUCCAUCCCUGCCAGGAUGGCAUGCAGGCAGGGCAGCAUCAUUGCUGUCUUUACUCUCAGCACUGCUUAGGGUGUGAUGAGACAGACAGGCAGCCCCUCAGGGAAAAGGAAGUGACAUGUGCCAUGAUGGUUCCUAUCAGGGAGUCAAAGCACUGAGCUGUCCAGAGCAGAAGCAGCAAUAUGGGAUAGGAAGGGAGACAUCGGCAUAUCAAAGAUACUCAAGGACUCCAGAGAUAAUGACAAAAUUAACAUGAAGUGAAACUGAAGGCAAAGAAAGUGAGACGUGUCUGAGAGUAUUUCUGCUGGGGAGGGAAAGAUCUUUGUUGUGUGAAGAAGGAAUCAGAUAACAAACCCACUGCUGAAAGACCAAACCUAAGUGAUACUGGAGUUUUGCUUCCAUUCACUUCAGAUGAAGACACUGAGCUCAGAGUGGAUUUUGAGCUAAAUCCUAACAGGAAAAU
rnacentral:lncRNA from 1 species